ensembl:lncRNA
GAGUAACUCAGAUGAGGGCUUAGAAUUCCGGCUUACAGAGAGUCUUCAGCGGAGACCAGCACAUUUGUGGAGAAGUGACAAGACAGAGGAAAGUGAUUUUAGGCUUCCAAGGACUGCACACUGGGAAGAGAGGAAGACAUGAGAUUCCUGGUGCUGUGUCCUUUAUUCUCCUCACCCUGGAAGAAUCCACCAUGUCACAUGGAUCGGUUUGCUUUGAAUCCCGUCUGUUUAAUUGUGUCUUCUAGGUUUUCUCAAAAGGAUGCAAGAGGAUAUUUAUUAAAUGGUCACUCAUCACGUUUUCCAGAAGAGAAAAAACAGGGCAGAGCAAACCUGUCUCUCCUUCAGUCCCACCAUUGCAUGAAUUUCUGCCAGAUCAAACUGUGUAUAUAUAAAGUACUUUACUGAGGGUUCGACAUACUCAAAAGGGUAUUGCAUGGUUUCUCAGUUAAACAACUUUAACAUCCCUGAGGAAAUACUGAGCUAUUCCAAGGAAGCCUUUAUGCUUUGAUGUUUCCCGGCCGUGAGGAGCAACCCCACGUCCAAGAAGCAGCGGAAAACAUCUAUUUCUGCUUUAUUGAAUAUGCCAAAUCCUUUGAGUGUGUCGAUCACAAUAAACUGUGGAAAAUUCUGAAAGAGAGGGGAAUACCAGACCACCUGACCUGCCUCUUGAGAAACC